rnacentral:rRNA from 1 species
UACGUAGGGGCAAGCGUUGUCCGGAAUCAUUGGCGUAAAGCGCGUGUAGGCGGCUGAGUAAGUCUGCUACUGAAAGCCCGGGGCUCAACCCCGGGGAGGCGGGUGGAUAACUGCUCAAGCUCGAGUCCGGAAGAGGAGUGUGGAAUUCCUGGUGUAGCGGUGAAAUGCGCAGGAUAUCAGGAGGAACACCAAUGGCGAAGGCAGCACUCUGGGACGGUACUGACGCUGAGACGCGAAAGCGUGGGGAGCAAACAGGA